rnacentral:rRNA from 1 species
CCUGCCGGCGACCGGCGCACGGGUGAGUAACACGUAUGCGACCUGCCCCCGCAGGGGGAUAACCGGGAGAAAUCCCGACUAAUACCGCGUAACGCCGCGGACCUGCAUGGGUCUGCGGCCAAAGGAAGCGAUUCCGGCGGGGGAUGGGCAUGCGGCGCAUUAGCUAGUCGGCGGGGUAACGGCCCACCGAGGCGACGAUGCGUAGGGGUUCUGAGAGGAAGGUCCCCCACACUGGUACCGAGACACGGACCAGACUCCUACGGGAGGCAGCAG